UACGGGGGGGGCAAGCGUUGUUCGGAAUUACUGGGCGUAAAGGGCUCGUAGGUGGCCAACUAAGUCAGACGUGAAAUCCCUCAGCUUAACUGGGGAACUGCGUCUGAUACUGGAUGGCUUGAGUUUGGGAGAGGGAUGCGGAAUUCCAGGUGUAGCGGUGAAAUGCGUAGAUAUCUGGAGGAACACCGGUGGCGAAGGCGCCUGCCUGGCAAUGUAUUGACGCUGAGGUGCGAAAGCGUGGGGAGCAAACAGG
rnacentral:rRNA from 1 species